rnacentral:rRNA from 1 species
UACGUAGGGUGCAAGCGUUGUCCGGAAUUAUUGGGCGUAAAGAGCUCGUAGGCGGUUUGUCACGUCGGAUGUGAAAACCCGAGGCUUAACCUCGGGCCUGCAUUCGAUACGGGCUGACUAGAGUUCGGUAGGGGAGACUGGAAUUCCCGGUGUAGCGGUGAAAUGCGCAGAUAUCAGGAGGAACACCGGUGGCGAAGGCGGGUCUCUGGGCCGAUACUGACGCUGAGGAGCGAAAGCGUGGGGAUCAAACAGG